rnacentral:rRNA from 1 species
CCUACGGGAGGCAGCAGUGGGGAAUUUUGCGCAAUGCUCGUAAGAGUGACGCAGCGACGCCGCGUGAAUGACGAAGGCCUUCGGGUCGUAAAGUUCUUUCGACAGGGAAGAAAAUGCAGAUAAGUAACUGUGUAUGUAUUGACGGUACCUGUAUAAGCAGCCCCGGCUAACUACGUGCCAGCAGCCGCGGUAAUACGGAGGGGGCGAGCGUUGGUCGGAGGGACUGGGCGUAAAGAGCACGUAGGCGGUGUUGUAAGUCAUUAGUCAAAGACUAGAGCUCAACUUUAGUAAGGCUAGUGAUACUAUAAUACUAGAGUAUCAGAGAGGAUUGCAGAAUUCCUGGUGUAGCGGUGAAAUGCGUAGAUAUCAGGAGGAAUACCGUUAGCGAAGGCGGCAAUCUGGCUGGAAACUGACGCUGAGGUGCGAAAGCGUGGGUAGCAAACAGGAUUAGAUACCCUUGUAGUC